rnacentral:rRNA from 1 species
UACGAAGGGGGCUAGCGUUGCUCGGAAUCACUGGGCGUAAAGGGUGCGUAGGCGGGUCUUUAAGUCAGGGGUGAAAUCCUGGAGCUCAACUCCAGAACUGCCUUUGAUACUGAGGAUCUUGAGUACGGGAGAGGUGAGUGGAACUGCGAGUGUAGAGGUGAAAUUCGUAGAUAUUCGCAAGAACACCAGUGGCGAAGGCGGCUCACUGGCCCGGUACUGACGCUGAGGUGCGAAAGCGUGGGGAGCAAACAGG